CAGUCGAACGGUAACAGAAAGCAGCUUGCUGCUUUGCUGACGAGUGGCGGACGGGUGAGUAAUGUCUGGGAAACUGCCUGAUGGAGGGGGAUAACUACUGGAAACGGUAGCUAAUACCGCAUAACGUCGCAAGACCAAAGAGGGGGACCUUCGGGCCUCUUGCCAUCGGAUGUGCCCAGAUGGGAUUAGCUAGUAGGUGGGGUAACGGCUCACCUAGGCGACGAUCCCUAGCUGGUCUGAGAGGAUGACCAGCCACACUGGAACUGAGACACGGUCCAGACUCCUACGGGAGGCAGCAGUGGGGAAUAUUGCACAAUGGGCGCAAGCCUGAUGCAGCCAUGCCGCGUGUAUGAAGAAGGCCUUCGGGUUGUAAAGUACUUUCAGCGGGGAGGAAGGGAGUAAAGUUAA
rnacentral:rRNA from 1 species